UACGUAGGGUGCGAGCGUUAAUCGGAAUGACUGGGCGUAAAGGGUGCGCAGGCGGUUGGUCAAGACGGAUGUGAAAGCCCCGGGCUUAACCUGGGAGUGUCAUUCGUGACUGACGAACUAGAAUCCAGGAGAGGUGAGUGGAAUUCCGAGUGUAGAGGUGAAAUUCGUAGAUAUUCGGAAGAACACCAGUGGCGAAGGCGGCUCACUGGACUGGUAUUGACGCUGAUGUGCGAAAGCGUGGGGAGCAAACAGG
rnacentral:rRNA from 1 species